GUGCAAGCGUUAAUCGGAAUUACUGGGCGUAAAGCGCACGCAGGCGGUUUGUUAAGUCAGAUGUGAAAUCCCCGGGCUCAACCUGGGAACUGCAUUUGAAACUGGCAAGCUAGAGUCUCGUAGAGGGGGGUAGAAUUCCAGGUGUAGCGGUGAAAUGCGUAGAGAUCUGGAGGAAUACCGGUGGCGAAGGCGGCCCCCUGGACGAAGACUGACGCUCAGGUGCGAAAGCGUGGGGAGCAAACAGGAUUAGAUACCCUGGUAGUCCACGCUGUAAACGAUGUCGAUUUGGAGGUUGUGCCCUUGAGGCGUGGCUUCC
rnacentral:rRNA from 1 species